rnacentral:rRNA from 1 species
CGAACGGGUGAGUAAUGCGUGACCAACCUGCCCCAUGCUCCAGAAUAGCUCUUGGAAACGGGUGGUAAUGCUGGAUGCUCCAACUUGACGCAUGUCUUGUUGGGAAAGUGUUUAGUGGCAUGGGAUGGGGUCGCGUCCUAUCAGCUUGUAGGCGGGGUAAUGGCCCACCUAGGCUUCGACGGGUAGCCGGCCUGAGAGGGCGGACGGCCACAUUGGGACUGAGAUACGGCCCAGACUCCUAAGGGAGGCAGCAGUC